rnacentral:rRNA from 1 species
CCUACGGGGGGCAGCAGUGGGGAAUAUUGCACAAUGGGGGGAACCCUGAUGCAGCGACGCCGCGUGGGUGAAGGAGCACCUCGGUGCGUAAAGCCCUAUCGGCAGGGAAGAAAAGCGAACAGGUUCGCCUGGACGGUACCUGACUAAGAAGCCCCGGCUAACUACGUGCCAGCAGCCGCGGUAAUACGUAGGGGGCAAGCGUUAUCCGGAUUCACUGGGUGUAAAGGGAGCGUAGACGGCGACGCAAGUCUGGAGUGAAAGCCCGGGGCCCAACCCCGGGACUGCUCUGGAAACUGCGUCGCUGG